GGACUACUGGGGUAUCUAAUCCUGUUCGCUCCCCCAGCUUUCGCGCCUCAGCGUCAGGUACCAGCCAGGACACUGCCUUCGCCUUUGGUAUUCCUCCGGAUAUCUACGCAUUUCACCACUCCACCCGGAAUUCUAUGUCCCUCUCUGGCCCUCCAGUCCUCCAGUUUUCGGUAGGCCUCGCUCGGUUAAGCCGAGCGCUGUCACUCCGAACUUGAACGACCGCCUGCACGCCCUUUACGCCCAGUAACUCCGGACAACGCUUGCCCCCUACGUCUUACCGCGGCUGCUGGCAC
rnacentral:rRNA from 1 species